rnacentral:misc_RNA from 1 species
UUAAGGGAGACCUACUUCCUCGAGACCGAACCCAUCGUUUAUUAGGUCCGAAGAGAAGUCAUCCCAAGGUCGAGUGAGGAUGGACUGUUGGCUUUCAAACUAUUUCUAGGUUUCCUGGUGGAGAAGCAAUCGCUUUUGUGCGGUGGUUCUCCCUGAGGAAGUGGAGUUGCGAUCAGGGCUAGGCUCUUGAAGCGCGAUCGCUAAAUUAAGAGAAGUGGACGGUGAACGAGUUGAGACCCAGACUUCAACGAAUAGGAGCGGCAAACACCCCCACAUAGUACGGUUGUCCUUCCCACAAACAGAAAUAGAUUCGUUAAAGUAGGGAAGUGAGCCAAAGAGUUAGCCGGUCAGCGAGUGAACCGAUACUAACAGCGAGAUUUACCACUACCUUGGAUAUCUACCUCAGCAACUUAUCUAGUGAAUCACUAGAGAGCCUGCUGGACGUCGUAUCCAGCCAAGCACCUUGAAAAUUGCAUAGCAACAAAAAUUCUGUCAGGUAGUUGCAAUUAACUGAAUCAGUUGGUUGCGAACACAGACACCAAUGUAAGAAAAAGU